rnacentral:tRNA from 1 species
GCCCAGGUAGUGCAGUGGUUAAGUACUUGGCUGCAAACCAAAAGGCUGGUGGUUCAAACUCACCCAGUGGCU